rnacentral:rRNA from 1 species
GCAUAUCAAUAAGCGGAGGAAAAGAAACCAACAGGGAUUGCCCUAGUAACGGCGAGUGAAGCGGCAACAGCUCAAAUUUGAAAUCUGGCCUCGGCCCGAGUUGUAAUUUGCAGAGGAUGCUUCGGGCGCGGUGCCUACUGAGUUCCCUGGAACGGGACGCCGUAGAGGGUGAGAGCCCCGUACGGUAGGACGCCUAGCCUGUGUGAAGCUCCUUCGACGAGUCGAGUAGUUUGGGAAUGCUGCUCAAAAUGGGAGGUAUAUCUCUUCUAAAGCUAAAUACCGGCCAGAGACCGAUAGCGCACAAGUAGAGUGAUCGAAAGAUGAAAAGCACCUUGAAAAGGGGGUUAAACAGCACGUGAAAUUGUUGAAAGGGAAGGGCCCAUGACCAGACUUGUGUCCGGCGGAUCACCCAGCGUUCUCGCUGGGGCACUCCGCCGGGUCCAGGCCAGCAUCGGUUCUCGCCGGGGGAUAAAGGCUUGGGGAACGUAUCUCCUCCGGGAGUGUUAUAGCCCCUUGCGUAAUACCCUGGCGGGGACCGAGGUACGCGCUCCGCAAGGAUGCUGGCGUAAUGGUCAUCAGCCAC